CACGAUGAUAAGAUCACUUCGCAUAGUUCACACUGAACACACGGUGUUGACAAACCUUGCAUCUUCCAAAUGUCUUUCGCUCCUAUCUGAUCCUUUAU
rnacentral:snoRNA from 1 species